rnacentral:rRNA from 1 species
GACGUAGGGGGCCAGCGUUGUUCGGAAUUACUGGGUGUAAAGGGUUCGUAGGCGGUGUGGCAAGUCGGGAGUGAAAUUUCUGGGCUCAACUCAGAGACUGCUUCCGAAACUGCUGUGCUUGAGUGUGGGAGAGGCGCGUGGAAUUGCAGGUGUAGCGGUGAAAUGCGUAGAUAUCUGCAGGAACACCCGUGGCGAAAGCGGCGCGCUGGACCACAACUGACGCUGAGGCGCGAAAGCUAGGGGAGCAAACAGG